rnacentral:rRNA from 1 species
AGAGUUUGAUCAUGGCUCAGAUUGAACGCUGGCGGAAUGCUUUACACAUGCAAGUCGAACGAUGAACCUUAGCUUGCUAAGGGGAUUAGUGGCGAACGGGUGAGUAAUAUAUCGGAACGUGCCUUGUAAUGGGGGAUAACUAGUCGAAAGAUUAGCUAAUACCGCAUACGCCCUGAGGGGGAAAGUAGGGGAUCUUCGGACCUUACGUUAUAAGAGCGGCCGAUAUCUGAUUAGCUAGUUGGUGGGGUAAUGGCCUACCAAGGCUUCGAUCAGUAGCUGGUCUGAGAGGACGACCAGCCACACUGGAACUGAGACACGGUCCAGACUCCUACGGGAGGCAGCAGUGGGGAAUUUUGGACAAUGGGCGCAAGCCUGAUCCAGCCAUUCCGCGUGAGUGAAGAAGGCCUUCGGGUUGUAAAGCUCUUUCGCAAGGGAAGAAAACUUACCUUCUAAUAAAGGGUGAGGCUGACGGUACCUUGAUAAGAAGCACCGGCUAACUACGUGCCAGCAGCCGCGGUAAUACGUAGGGUGCGAGCGUUAAUCGGAAUUACUGGGCGUAAAGCGUGCGCAGGCGGUUUGGCAAGUCAGAUGUGAAAUCCCCGAGCUCAACUUGGGAACUGCGUUUGAAACUGCCAGACUAGAAUAUGUCAGAGGGGGGUAGAAUUCCACGUGUAGCAGUGAAAUGCGUAGAGAUGUGGAGGA